CCUACGGGCGGCAGCAGUGGGGGAUAUUGCACAAUGGGGGAAACCCUGAUGCAGCGACGCCGCGUGAGUGAAGAAGUAUUUCGGUAUGUAAAGCUCUAUCAGCAGGGAAGAAAAUGACAGUACCUGACCAAGAAGCCCCGGCUAACUACGUGCCAGCAGCCGCGGUAAUACGUAGGGGGCAAGCGUUAUCCGGAUUUACUGGGUUUAAAGGGAGCGUAGACGGGUAUGUAAGUCUGGAGUGAAAGCCCGGGGCCCAACCCCGGGACUGCUGUGGAAACUGGGUGACUGGAGUGCAGGAGGGGCAGGCGGAAUUCCUGGUGUAGCGGUGAAAUGCGUAGAGAUCAGGAGGAACACCGGCGGCGAAGGCGGCCUGCUGGACUGAAACUGACGUUGAGGCUCGAAAGCGUGGGGAGCAAACAGGAUUAGAUACCCGGGUAGUC
rnacentral:rRNA from 1 species